AUGUUGGGGAAUAUUUUAGUGUAGUUUUCUUUUGGAAAUACCAGUUGCUAGUACUGGAAAAAAUCCAAACAUUGCCCAUAUGUGUUCUAAAGGCUGGACUAUGCAGAAGAUUGAUUUGACUCCAACAGUGGAAACUGCAAGAAAAUAAUUCAAAAUUCCCAAUAUGCUUAAAAUCUGUACAGCUAAUUAAAAAUCCAAAAAACAUCCAGCUAAACACAGAUGUAAUAUAUACUGGCACUCAAAAGUAGAAUAUAUCCAGUGUGUUCCCAAUGCACAACCAGUUGCUGAUGAAGGACCCAUAUAAAUCUUCAGUCAAUUUUCUGCUUUAGCAACUGCCAGCUUUUAUGUGAAGCAAAUAAUCUUUGAUGGAAAGCUUUUGUUUUCAAAUGUGCAUGAAAAAUCAUUAUUUUGUCUUCACAAACCCAUUGUAGUUUGGACAAGGUUAUACUAACUGGCCUUGGGUUGCCAAAUGAAACCUUGCCUCUUGCAGACAACAUCACAGGAGAGGUUUUGACCUUAUGCAAUUGCAAGGAUGGCAAAGGCUCCACUAACUUAGUGUUCUACAUACAGACAGUAUUCAUGACCACUCAUGCCCAUGGCCUUCAUACUGUACAGCUUAGUGAAGAACAUAUUGUCAGGUCACUUGACUUUGCUCAGCAAAGCCUUAGACUUAGGUGGAACCAUUUCUACAACUGAAAAAAUAAGAGGUGUUAUUUGAUUUGUGAUAGGCUGUCCCGCCCAUUAAGAAGCAUGUGGGGCUACUUCAGACAGAAGAUUCGGAGGGAUGACAGCAGUCCCUGGCUGUUCCUUUCUAUUUGAGGACAUGACUAUGUAUGAGACAUUGACUGCCCUAGACCUUGUAGCUAAGUCUGCUGCAAUUCAGGAUUAAAAUUAUCUACAGGAUCACCUUCUCCCAUACAAUCUGCCCCACACACUUGGGUUCUCUAGAGGGCGUCUGAUCCAGCCUGACAGAACCUGACUGGCGACAAUCACCCAGGGGACCUUUUCAUUGGCUGCACCAAGACUAUGGAAUGACCUGCCAGAAGAGCUCUGAGAGGAAAAGGAGCUCUUGAAAUUUAAAAUGCAUUUGAAAACCUAUCUCUUCUACCCAGCCAUAUGUGAAUGAUUUCUGAACCUAAAGAUUGGGAGAAAAAGGGCAGGAGCAAGCGUGGAGAAAACACUUAUUUACAGAAAAUCUGACAGUGAACACUUUGAAUGGUUAUAGUUUUGAUGGAUUUGUGCAUAUCUUCUUCGAUUUCUUGCCCUGCUAUAAUGAGCAGAAAAUGCUUUUUAGUACAUACUUAUAUUUGUAUUUGUUCAUACUGUUCACAUUUUCACAUUCUUUAUUUCUAUCUUCUAAACUGUGCGUUAUUCAGCAUCUUUAUUAUUUCAGGCCAGCUUUGCACUCUUUUUCUUUAAAAAUGCAACCUUGUUACUGCCUGCAGCUUUACAAUAAACAUAUAUAUAAAAUUGAUAAAAAUUGUGUAGGCAUGGCUAGACCUAAAGAGUGGAGUUGCCUGUUAUCAUGGGAAGCAUACAUUAACUCAACUGCUAUAGUGUCUCUCCCCCAUCUUCCACUACAUUAACACUGCACUCCCUCUGUUUUAUUUUCCUCUUUCUUUUUUGCCUCUUCCAUCUUGUUCCUUGGUUAUUUUAAAAACCAAAAAAAAUAGAGAUUACAUUUAUUGUCAAAAUGCAUGCCAGUACAGUAGUAGAAAAGAUGCAGCAAUGGUCUUUAAUGGCUCUUCAGCUUUCAGUGAAAGAAACUAUCCAAGGUCCUGAAUGCUAUUUUUGAAACAUUCCCAGAACAUUGGCCUGACUGUUUAGAGCAGUGGUACUCAACCUGUAGGUCCCCAGGUGUUUUGGCCUACAACUCCCAGAAAUCUCAGCCAGUUUACCAGCUGUUAGGAUUUCUGGGAUUUGAAGGCCAAAACAUCUGGGGGGCCACAUGUUGAGAACCACUGCUUUAGAAUUUAAACAAAGCCUACAUUUCUAUGGUUCCUCAUCUUCCAUCUUCUUCUUUAUUAUCAUUAACCACAUUAUCAUCAUUGCUUUAAAGAAGGCACAUGGAGAAGAGGUUUGAAAUGUUCCAUUAUUACCUUUUCUAGGAUGUUGAUAAGAUUUUUGACUUGUUAAUGGUGUUUGUUUUUAUCUCUCUUGUUAUUUUAUUAGAAUGUAUUGAUUUCACAGGCUAGAAUUUUCAUUUUAAAUGAAUAAUUUAGUUUCUCUGAUUAUUCACUAACACCUCCCCCCCAAUCCAUUAGAAUGUGUCAACUUUAUGCACAGAGGAUGGGAGUAAGGUUCAUCUAUUCAUCUAUAAGGCAAUGCGGCAUAAACCACACUGAACUCAAUAAUAAUUAUUUUUGAGUUUAAAACAUUUUGGACUGCACUAUUGAGGUGGUUUCAAGCUGUCCUCCAGCCAAUUGAACUAAUGCUGGACUACAGAUCACACAGGUCUAUGUAAGUGCAGUGGAAAUUCACUACAUCAAAAAGAAAAGAAAAUGUGUUUUUGGUUUUCCUGGGUAAUUUUUAAGUUGUCAGGUCAGAUUGUCCAUAAUAUUUUUAGUAGCCAUUCUUCUAUUGUUGGGAUUUCUUUAAUCUUCCACUUCCUUGCAUAGGUUAUUCUUGCAGCCGUUACAAAGUAGUUGAACAGGAUGUCUUUAUUUUUCUUUAAUUCUGAACCUGUCAUACCCAAGAGAAAAGUGAAAAUGAUAAUCUAACCCCAUCAAGAACCAUAGAAGAAUUUCUUAUAAUAAGUGAAAAGGCGAAUGGGAGUGAAAGAAAACAAACAAGAGUCAGAUGCAAAUAAAGAUGAAAGAGAUUGGAGGUCAACAAUACUCCCCCUUUUCUAUCCCCUUUAUUCCUCACUUUGCCUUGUGUUUACCUUUAGACUUCCCACCCCCGCUCCCACCAAUUCUUCCCAAACAUUUUUUCUUCUUUUUAAACCUUUGUUAUAAAAAGUCUUUUUUGUGUUGUUUCAAUAAAAUUUACUUUAAAAAGAGAGAAAUUGUUUGCUCUUUUAUUGUUGUAUUGCAUUUCCCAUCUUCCAUCUUCCCAUGCCACUUAGCUAUACCAGCUAAGGCUGCUAGACAUUGGAGACUGGCAAUAUCCAGAUUACCCAACACUGCUUAUCUGUGCUCUACAUUAUUGUUAUUGUUAUUGUUAUGUGCCUUCAAAUUGCUUCUGACUUAUGACAACCUAAGCUGAACCUAUAAUGGGGUUUUAUUUGAAAAAUGUAUUGAGAAUGUGGUUCCCUUUGACUUCUUCUUCUUCUUUUUAUUUAGAGGUAUUUUAUUUACACAAAUUGUAACUGUAAGUCAAAUUGUGUACAAAUAAUAACGUUCUGCUACCAAACAUACAUAUUAAGGUAAAAAUGUACUCUUAUAGCUUUUCCUGGAAUGUUUAAUCUCUGGACAAUCUUACCUGAUGCUCCAACAGUAGUCAGCCAUCAUAUGUACAUCCCAUCCACCCUGAUAUAGUGCUU